GUUUUUAGAAGUUUAUGGUUGUUCAACUUCCAUGGCACAACCUUUCUUCUUCAUCAACCAUGGUGGCGCGAUCUCUCUGCUUACUCUCAUUUCCUUCGCUUCCUCUUAUUCCUUAACGCCUCCGUGACAACAUCAAGGCCACUGCCUCCGUUUAGCACCUCAAUCUCCUCCAUCCCUGUUUGCUUCGCCGUCCUCUGUCUACAUCAUCGAUUCGCAAUCGAUUUCACCAUCAUCAUCGUAGUUCCAUUUCCCACUCUUCUCCUUCAAUGCGUCAAUCACGCCACCUUCUUCUACCGUCUUCUUCAACCCGCGAUGCUCUUCAAGAACCUCUUCCUCGAUCUAAGUUAA